UUCUUAUCUCGAGAGGCGGAGGGACUGGCCCUGUGAAGCCUCGGCAACAGACUGUUAAAGUACUGUGCCAAUUCCAGUAGCAAUUUGCUUGAAGAUAGGAG
rfam:Bacillus sp. SGD-V-76 genomic scaffold Scaffold49, whole genome shotgun sequence.